rnacentral:tRNA from 1 species
AUGGCUCAGUGGUUAAGAGCACUGGCUGCUCUUCCAGAGGCUCCAGGUUCGAUUCCCGGU